GCCAAUUAAUUCAAGACUAACCAUUAAAUAAAGGGCCAUUCAUCUUUUUCAUGUAGAAGUUUCAAGAACACAAAACUUGAGCACAAAAGAGAGAGGGUUUCGGCUAGAGAGAGGAAGAGAAAGAAAAAAAAAUUUAGCUCAUCAAUUCUUGGUCCAAAAAUCAUAAUCUUCUAGUAUUCCUAUUAAGUUGGAAACCCUCUUCAAUGUGAUACAAAUUUUGAAGCAAAAGAGUACUUUUUUUACAAAGUGGAAAUUCUUGAAAAAGAUAUUGGAGAGCCCGAGACUUGAGUCGGGAUUUGUUUGGCGAGUGAUCGAGAUUUGGUAGUGAGCGAUCGAGGUACAGACGUUUGUUCUGCUGACUCGCCAGUGUAGGAUACAUUCUGCUACUUUGGAGUGCUCAUUUGACUCGGAGCCCAUACUUUUGGUAAAGAUCUCUCAUUGUAUAUGUAUCUGUAUAUAUGUAAGACUAUCUGGGGUACGGCGGGGCCCUGUCCCGUCAUAUGUUUUUGUUAUGUUUUGUAGAGGCUUGUAGUCAUAUAUGUGGGUUGUGGGUCAUGGGUCAUGUUUGUUCGUUUGUGAUUAUGAUCUGCGUCUUAAUGCGGCCCCGUUUACUAUUAUGGCCAAAACGGCUCAUUUGUCUGUAUAUGCAUAUAUAUCUGGCGAUGUGUAUUCCGCCAAUCUAUUGGAUUUGGAUAUGAUGUUUCUGUACGGGCGACCGCUUAAGAUGAUAUUUGUUUUCAAUAUUUUGCUUAAAAUGACGUAUGUUAAGUUUGAAUGAAUUUUGCUA